rnacentral:rRNA from 1 species
GCCAGACUCCUACGGGAGGCAGCAGUGGGGAAUAUUGCACAAUGGGGGAAACCCUGAUGCAGCGACGCCGCGUGAGCGAAGAAGUAUUUCGGUAUGUAAAGCUCUAUCAGCAGGGAAGAAAAAAAUGACGGUACCUGAGUAAGAAGCACCGGCUAAAUACGUGCCAGCAGCCGCGGUAAUACGUAUGGUGCAAGCGUUAUCCGGAUUUACUGGGUGUAAAGGGAGCGUAGGCGGCGCGUUAAGUCUGAUGUGAAAACCCGAGGCUCAACCACGGGAGUGCAUUGGAAACUGGCGGGCUGGAGUGCCGGAGAGGUAAGCGGAAUUCCUAGUGUAGCGGUGAAAUGCGUAGAUAUUAGGAGGAACACCAGUGGCGAAGGCGUCUUACUGGAUCGAAACUGACGUUGAGGCUCGAAAGCGUGGGGAGCAAACAGGAUUAGAUACCCUUGUA